rnacentral:rRNA from 1 species
GGUGUGACACCGAACAGCAUGCUGCCCGACGUCUGGCAUUCAUCGUUUACGGCGUGGACUACCAGGGUAUCUAAUCCUGCUUGCUCCCCACGCUUUCGCACCUCAGCGUCAGUAUCGAGCCAGUGAGCCGCCUUCGCCACUGGUGUUCCUCCGAAUAUCUACGAAUUUCACCUCUACACUCGGAAUUCCACUCACCUCUCUCGAACUCCAGACCAAUAGUUUUGAAGGCAGUUCCGAGGUUGAGCCCCGGGAUUUCACCCCCAACUUUCUGGUCCGCCUACGUGCGCUUUACGCCCAGUAAUUCCGAACAACGCUAGCCCCCUCCGUAUUACCGCGGCUGCUGGCACGGAGUUAGCCGGGGCUUCUUCUGCUGGUACCGUCAUUAUCUUCCCAGCUGAAAGAGCUUUACAACCCUAAGGCCUUCAUCACUCACGCGGCAUGGCUAGAUCAGGGUUGCCCCCAUUGUCUAAGAUUCCCCACUGCUGCCUCCCGUAGGAGUCUGGGCCGUGUUUCAGUCCCAGUGUGGCUGAUCAUCCUCUCAAACCAGCUAUGGAUCGUCGGCUUGGUAGGCCAU